GCUGGACAAACACACACAAACAUCUAUUAUACACUAAACAAACCAUUUGACCAACCAAGUAGAUGCGAUCGAACAGUAAAUCACACCACAAGUACCGUAAGGGAAACAACAUUUAAGCAGAAAACAGCAAAGACUAACCCUUGUACCUUUCGCAUUAUGGUUUAGCAAGAAAACAAGGACAAGAAGAAUCAUAGCCCACACCCCCGAAACCAGGUGAGCUACUUUAAAGUAGCCCACAGGGCUCACCCUUCUCUGUAGCAAAAGAGUGGGAAAACUUAAAAGUAGAAGUGAAACGCCUACCGAACCUGGAGAUAGCUGGCUACCCAAAAAGGAAUAUUAGUUCCACUUUAGAUCAAAACAUAAAUACUUAUAACCUAAAGACAAUCAAUAGGGGUACAGCUCUAUUGAAACAGGAAACAACCUGAAUUUGAGAGGAAAAAAUCUAUGCACACCAGUAGGACUUUAAGCAGCCACCCACAAAAAUAUCGUUAAAGAAUUAACAUUAAAAAUUCCCAAACUAACUAAAACCUCCAAACAAACUAAAGGUGAGCCCAUCCCUAUGGGCAAAAUUAUGCUAAAACUAAUAAUAAGACAACUUCUCUACACGCACCUAUCCCCUAGAACGGAACAACCACUAGCCAUUAACAGACCACAAUAGGAAAUACAACUAAACAAUACCCACCUUUACACAAACUGUGACCCCAACACAGGAGCGAUAAAAAGAAAGAUUAAUCAUUAUAAAAGGAACUCGGCAAACAACGACCCCAACUGUUUAACAAAAACAUAACCUUUAGCCAAACAAGUAUUAAAGGCAACGCCUGCCCAGUGAAUAAUUAAACGGCCGCGGUACCCUAACCGUGCAAAGGUAGCAUAAUCACUUGUCUAUUAAUUGUAGACCCGUAUGAAAGGCAAAAUGAGGGUUAAGCUGUCUCUUAUAAUAGAUCUAUUAAACUGAUCUCCUAGUAAAAAAGCUAAGAUGAUAACAUAAGACCAGAAGACCCUGUGAAGCUUAAACUAACCUAUUAAACCAAAUAAUAGUUACUUUCGGUUGGGGCGACCUUGGAAACAAAAAGAACUUCCAAACACAUAUGUGAAUAUACAAACGCUAUAGGCCCACAAGCCAACUAAACGACCCAGCAAAGCUGAUAAUUGAACAAAGUUACUCCAGGGAUAACAGCGCUAUCUUCUUCAAGAGCCCAUAUCAAAAAGAAGGUUUACGACCUCGAUGUUGGAUCAGGACAUCCUAGUGGUGCAACCGCUAUUAAGGGUUCGUUUGUUCAACGAUUAAUGUCCUACGUGAUCUGAGUUCAGACCGGAGCAAUCCAGGUCGGUUUCUAUCUAUGAUUAACUAAACCUAGUACGAAAGGAUCGGUAUAGUAAAGCCAAUACCAAAAGCAAGCUUUAAUACACAAUAAACAUAUUACCUUAAACCCAGAUAAGGUUAA
rnacentral:rRNA from 1 species